UUGAUGUUAUUUGUAAAUAUGUUAUUUUAAAAAGAUUUUUCAAUAUUUGAAGAUAUUUGCCACUCAUAUUUUCCAAGUAUAUUAAUAAUUUAUGAUUGAUAUUUGAUAAUGGUUUGUUUUUCAUUUAUGUAAUGAUCAUAACUAUGCUGCUAAUAACUAUACCUUAACCAGAAAGGUUAAAUAAUAUUACUUCAAAAAACAAUAAUAACCUUUUUAUUUAAAAAAAAUAUUUUUUUAGAGAAAAUAUUUUCCAAAAACAAGUGACACUUUAAAUAUUCUUGAAGAUGUAGAUUUGGAGAAACCUGCUAGUCAUAAUGUUUCAAAAACAAUUGACACUAUUAAUAUUCUUGAAGAUGUAUAUUUGGAGAAAUCUGCUAGUCAUAAUGUUUCAAAAACAAUUGACACUAUUAAUAUUCUUGAAGAUGUAGAUUUGGAGAAACCUGCUAGUCAUGUUUUCUCGAUGCUUCUUUUGAUAGAAUUAAAAGAUUUCUAUCUGAUUCGAAAGUAAAAUUAUUCACCACAUUAAGCCUUGAUGAAAUGUCCAUUCGUCAUAUUGUACAAUGGGACAAAAAGGAGUACCAUGGAUAUGUUGAUUGGGCAAUGAAAUCAAACCAUCUGAUUCUCUUCCUAAAGCCAAACAGGCUCUUUUUCUUAUGGCAACAUGUCUUAAUGGAACAUGGAAAAUUCCCAUAGGAUACUUCUUAGUAUCAAAUACUACUGGAGAUUUGCUUGCUAAUAUAGUCACUAAUGCUCUUCAUUUAUUACAUGAUACAGGCACUUCCUGUAAAGUUAUAGUAUGUGAUGGUUUGGCGGCUAAUAUAAAAAUGUACCAACUACUUGGUGCAUCUAUAGAUCCUGAUCUAUGUAUACCCUAUUUUACUCACCCAUUAAAUUUUGAUGAAAAAGUCUACAUUAUGUUGGACGUAUGCCACAUGAUUAAGUUGUUGAGAAAUCUUUAAUUUAUAAUAAUGGAUCAAUAAUAAAUUGUAAAUAUAUAGCUAAUCUUCACAAUUUACAAGAUAAAGAAGGACUUCGUGCUGCUAAUAAAAUUAAUAAAUCUCAUAUUGACUAUCACAAACAAAAAAUGAAAGUUAGACUUGCUGUACAAGUUUUUAGUAGCUCAGUGGCAAAAGGUAUUCUUUUGGCACAAGAGCUAAAGAUUGAUGGGUUUGAAAAUUGUGAGAGCACAGUUGACUUUAUUCAAAUCAUUGAUCAGUAUUAAAAUAUAUUAAUAUUUUUAUAGAAUGUUUGACUUUUUAAAUACACGGAACAUAGUUGCUAAAGGGUUUAAAAAACCACUAACUACAAAUUCACUUUCUUAUUAUAAAUUUUUUUGAGAUGUGCAUUACAACUUUAAAAUCCUUAGUUUGAAAGUGGAAAAUACGUUUAUAGAUCAAAAAAAAAAGUCUGCAUUAUAGGCUUAAUCUUGUCAAUGAAAAGCAUUUUGGGAAUUGGGAGGGAAUUAUUAUUAGGACCUAACCCCAAACUCAUCAAAUAUCUUUUAACCUACAAAACAUCUCAAGAUCAUCUAGAGCUCUUCUUUAGCUGUUUACGAAGCAAAGGAGGUUUUAAUAAUAACCCUUCUGCCUAUCAAUUACGAUCAGCUAUAAGAGGCGUUAUGAUAGCAAAGAUGGGAGCCUUAUGCACAGGUAAUUGUAUUCCACUCGAUAAUACAAAUCUUUUUUGUGGAGAUUAUCAAGAUGAUGACAAUAUACGAGCUAUAGAUUUUUCUUUUAUAGAUGUUCCAGAUAUCCAAAAAUUAUCGCCAUUCGUUGAUAACAUCGCAACUUAUAUAUCAGGAUAUAUAACACGUAAACUUAUAUCCGAAAAUAAGGUAAAGUGUUAUAUAUGUAUUUCUGCAAUGAUUGUUAAAAAUUGUAAAGAUCAAGAGAGCUAUAAUUUAAUUAAAAUUAAAAACAAUCAGGGAUUAAUAAUUCCUUCCAGAGAUGUAUCUAGAUUAUGCCAAUAUGCUGAAAGUGGUUUCCGUACAUUUGAACAUAAUAAUCAAAUUAAAAAGUUUUGUAUAUUUAAACGAAUAAUAUCUUUUGUGAUUUCAAAAGUGAUAGAAACAAAUAUUUUUGAUAAUCUGGUUGAUCACAUGCUAGAUCAAGAAGAAACAUCUAGCCAUUAUCAAAAAUUAAUUAGAUUAAUAGUUGAACGAUACAUAAACAUAAGUUUUUAUCAUUUUGCAGAUAAACAAAAUAAAAAUGAAAAUACCAACAUUCGUCAGAAGCUGACCAAAACCAUUCUAUUUAAAGGACAAUAAAUAUAUCUAUAUAAUCUUUUUUAAUUUAAAUGAUAUUAGAUAUAUAUUGUAACUAUAUAUAUUUAAAUAUAAAUAAUAUCUAUAAAUCCUUUU